rnacentral:rRNA from 1 species
AUGUUGCGAUGAUCUGCUCUAGUUGUGUAAGAUAACCGCGGAAACCUGUGGCUAAGAGACUAGAAUGAGACGCAACCCUAUCAGUUUGUUGGUAGUGUAACGGACUACCAAGACUAUGACGGGUGACGGGAAAUCAGUGUUUGAUUCCGGAGAGGGAGCCUGAGAGAUGGCUCCCACGUCCAAGGAUGGCAGCAGGCGCGAAAAUUGUCCACUCUUUGUUGAGGAGACAGUUAUGAGGCGUGAUUGUAAGAGCGAAGAGUAAACAUCUUUGUGUAAUGCAACUAGAGGGCAAGUUUUGGUGCCAGCAGCCGCGGUAACUCCAACUCUAGAAGUGCCUAUUGUGGAUGCUGCAGUUAAAAAGUCCGUAGUCGUUGAUGCAAUUAAAAGGUGUAGAUCAAGUGCACCAAGUUUGUUAGUUGUGGCGGAGCGGACAGGGAGCAUGGUAUAGGUUGGCGAAGAAUGAAAUCUCAAGACCCAACCUGGACCAACUGAGGCGAAAGCGGUGCUCUUGUACGCGUCUGUGGAUCAAGGACGAAGGCUAGAGGAUCGAAAGUGAUUAGACACCGCUGUAGUUCUAGCAGUAAACUAUGCCGACAUUCUCUGUUGUUGAGACGGGGAGGGGAGAAAUCUUAGUUUUCGGGCUCUGGGGAUAGUACGCUUGCAAGAGUGAAACUUAAAGCGAAAUUGACGGAAGAUCACCACAAGGAGUGGAUUGUACUGCUUAAUUUGACUCAACACGGGAAAACUUACCAGGGCCAAGUCUCUCGUAGAUUGGCGACAUGAGAGGGGCAAGAGUGGUGCAUGGCCGUUGGAAAUUGAUGGGAUGACCUUUAGCUUAAGUGCUGUAACCAGUGAGAUCUUCUAGACAGGUGUCUUACUGACACAGGAAGGAGAAGGCUAUAACAGGUCCGUGAUGCCCUCAGAUGCCCUGGGCCGCAAGUGCAAUACAAUAUCCGUUUGAGCGACAUAAAUAUGCUUACGGAUGAGUAGGAUUAGCUCUUGUAAAUGAGCUAUGAAUGAGGAAUUCCUAGUAACUGUGUCUCAUCAAGGCACAGUGAAUGCGUCC